GCUGCAUGGCUGUCGUCAGCUCGUGUCGUGAGAUGUUGGGUUAAGUCCCGCAACGAGCGCAACCCUUGUCAUUAGUUGCUACGAAAGGGCACUCUAAUGAGACUGCCGGUGACAAACCGGAGGAAAGGUGGGGAUGACGUCAAGUCCUCAUGGCCCUUAUAGGUGGGGCUACACACGUCAUACAAUGGCUGGUACAAAGGGUUGCCAACCCGCGAGGGGGAGCCAAUCCCAUAAAGCCAGUCGUAGUCCGGAUCGCAGUCUGCAACUCGACUGCGUGAAGUCGGAAUCGCUAGUAAUCGUGGAUCAGCAUGUCACGGUGAAUACGUUCCCGGGUCUU
rnacentral:rRNA from 1 species